rnacentral:rRNA from 1 species
AGGCAGCAGUCUAGAAAAUUGGGCACUGGGCGAAAGCCCGACCCACAGACGCCGCGUGCGGGAUGAAGUCUUUCGGGAUGUAAACCGCUGUCAGGGUGGACGAUGACAUUCGUGGCUAAUAUCCAACGAGUGUUGACGGUACUCCCAAAGGAAGCACCGGCUAACUACGUGCCAGCAGCCGCGGUGAUACGUAGGGUGCAAAGCGUUGCUCGGAUUCACUGGGCGUAAAGGGUGCGUAGGCGGAUUGGUAAGUCGAUUGUGAAAUCUCUAGGCUUACCCUGGAAACUGCGGUCGAUACUGCCGGUCUGGAGGACAGAAAGAGGAGAGCGGAACUCCUGGUGUAGCGGUAAAAUGCGUGGAUAUCAGGAGGAACGCCUAAGGCGAAAGCAGCUCUCUGGUAUGUUCCUGACGCUGAAGCACGAAAGCUAAGGUAGCAAACCGGAUUAGAUACCCGGGUAGUCUUAGCCGUAAACGAUGUACACUAGGUAUUGGCAAUGGUCAGUGCCGCAGCUAACGCGGUAAGUGUACCGCCUGGGGACUACGGCCGCAAGGCUAAAACUCAAAGGAAUUGACGGGGCCCCGCACAAGCGGUGGAUGAUGCGGUUUAAUUCGUUGCUACGCGAAGAACCUUACCUGGGUUUGACAUGUACGUGGUACGGAUCCGAAAGGUGAAGGACCGGGGUUUUCCCCGGAGCGUACACAGGUGCUGCACGGCUGUCGUCAGCUCGUGCCGUGAGGUGUUGGGUUAAGUCCCGCAACGAGCGCAACCCCUGCCGAUAGUUGCCAUCAGGUCAUGCUGAGCACUCUAUCGGGACCGCCUGGGUUAACCAGGAGGAAGGUGGGGAUGACGUCAAGUCAUCGUGGCCUUUAUACCCAGGGCGACACGCGUCAUACAGUGGCUGUUACAACGGGCUGCAACACCGCGAGGUGAAGCUAAUCCCUUAAAGGCAGCCAUGGUUCGGAUUGCAGGCUGCAACUCGCCUGCAUGAAGAUGGAAUCGCUAGUAAUCGCAGAUCAGCCAUGCUGUGGUGAAUGCAAUCUCGGGGCUUGCACACACCGCCCGUCAAG